CCUUCUCCCAACUAACAUCAGGAGUGAAAUCCUGCCUGAAGCUUAAAGGAAUGGAUGUUACAUUUAUUCAAAGCAAGUUGUAACUCUAUAUACUGAAAGAGCAAGAAGUAGAGGAUCUAACAACUCUAUCAAAAUCAGCCCCAAGUUGGAAACAAAGUAUCAUCUUCAGCAUCAUGUCUGUAUUUGUCUUCAAUGUAUCCAUAAUUCUACAGUGACCAUUCUGACUAUUCUUCUAACUACCCUGCGAAGCUUUAAUUAUUUCCUGAGGAUAAA